GGUCAAGCUACAAAGGGCACGGGGUGGAUGCCUUGGCGCCAAGAGCCGAUGAAGGACGCGGCAGGCUGCGAAAAGCUUCGGGGAGUCGCGAGCAGACGUUGAUCCGGAGAUGUCCGAAUGGGGAAACCCCGCCGGGGCAAUGCCCGGCGACCCCUGGCUGAAUCCAUAGGCCAGGUGGAGGUAAGCCAGCGAACUGAAACAUCUCAGUAGCUGGAGGAACAGAGAUCAUUCCCUGAGUAGUGGCGAGCGAAACGGGAAGAGCCCAAACUCACUCAGCGCGAUAGGCGGCAGCCGUUUCUGAGUGGGGGUUGUAGGAGUCGAUCAGCGGGGCCCUGCCGGGUCCCGGCGGAGUUACAAAGUCGUUCGCUAGUCGAACUGCCCUGGAACGGCAGGCCGGAGAGGGUGAGAGCCCCGUAGGCGAAAGCGAGACGACCUCCGAGAUCGGCCACCUGAGUACCACGUGGAAGGUCUCUCAUGUGGGAAGCUGGGCGGACCACCGUCCAAGGCUAAAUACUCUUGGCGACCGAUAGUGAACGAGUACCGUGAGGGAAAGGUGAAAAGCACCCCGGAAGGGGAGUGAAAUAGUACCUGAAACCUCGUGCCUACAAGCAGUCAGAGGGUGUUGCCGGUGUCACAGCCGGUAGCCUGAUGGCGUGCCUUUUGAAGAAUGAGCCGACGAGUUACGUGCACGUGGCGAGGUUAAGUCCGAGAAGGACGGAGCCGGAGCGAAAGCGAGUCUGAACAGGGCGUCGAGUCGCGUGCAGUAGACCCGAAACCGAGUGACCUAUCCAUGGGCAGGCUGAAGCGGAAGUAACGUUCCGUGGAGGGCCGAACUCACUAGCGUUGAAAAGCUAGGGGAUGACCUGUGGAUAGAGGUGAAAUGCCAAUCGAACUCGGAGAUAGCUGGUUCUCCCCGAAAUGCCUCUAGGGGCAGCCUCGGGUGAUCAAUCGCGGGGGUAGAGCGCUGGAUGGGCUAGGGGGCUUCCCGCUUACCAACCCCAACCAAACUCCGAAUCCCGCGAUUUACACAGCCCGGGAGUGAGACUGCGAGGGCUAAGCUUCGUGGUCUAAAGGAAAACAGUCCGGACCGUCAGCUAAGGUCCCCAAAUCCAAGCUAAGUGGCAAAGGAUGUGGAAUCGCACAGACAACCAGGAUGUUGGCUUAGAAGCAGCCAUCAUUGAAAGAGUGCGUAACAGCUCACUGGUCAAGUGGUUCCGCGCCGAAAAUGUAACGGGGCUCAAGCUUGGUACCGAAGCUACGGAUUGGCCGUCGGGUUCGCCCGGCGGUCGAUGGUAGGGGAGCGUUCCGUUCGCAGCGAAGGUCGACCGUGAGGACGGCUGGAGCGGACGGAAGUGCGAAUGUCGGCAUGAGUAGCGAGAUGUGGGUGAGAAUCCCACACGCCGGAAGCCUAAGGUUUCCUGAGGAAGGCUUGUCCGCUCAGGGUUAGUCGGGCCUAAGCCGAGGACGAACGUCGUAGGCGAUGGACAUCCGGUUGAUAUUCCGGAACCACCAGAGAUCGUUUGCACCGCAAGGUGCCGCCCGGAGGACGCGAACGGAGGUUGGCCGACAUUGGUCGGUCGAGUCCGGGAGUUGAUCCCGGGUGAGAGCAAGGGCAUGACACGGCACGGUAGCUCGAGCGCCUUAUUGGAUUGGCGUCCAAGCCGGUAGGGGGAGGAGACAGGUAAAUCCGUCACCUCGUAACCCCGAGCAGCGAUGGUAAGCGGCAUCCGCCGCAAUUCGAGUGAGCCGAGCUGGCGAGAAAAGUGUCUAGCGAGAUCGAAGGUGCCCGUACCGCAAUCCGACACAGGUAGGCGGGUAGAGAAUACCAAGGCGAUCGGGAGAACCCUCGUUAAGGAACUCGGCAAAAUGGCCCCGUAACUUCGGGAGAAGGGGCGCUCCGCUUGUCGGAGCCGCAGUGAAAAGGCCCAGGCGACUGUUUAGCAAAAACACAGGUCUCUGCUAAAGCGAAAGCUGACGUAUAGGGGCUGACGCCUGCCCAGUGCCGGAAGGUUAAGAGGAGGGGUGCAAGCUCUGAAUCGAAGCCCCGGUAAACGGCGGCUGUAACUAUAACAGUCCUAAGGUAGCGAAAUUCCUUGUCGGGUAAGUUCCGACCCGCACGAAUGGCGUAACGAUCUGGGCGCUGUCUCAACGAGGGAUCCGGCGAAAUUGAAGUACGAGUGAAGAUGCUCGUUACCCGCGAUAGGACAAAAAGACCCCGUGGAGCUUUACUGCACCCUGAUAUUGGAUUGGGGUUCAGCUUGUGUAGGAUAGGUGGGAGGCUGAGAAGCUGGGGCGCUAGCCUCGGUGGAGCCGACGUUGAAAUACCACCCUUGUUGGAUUUCGGUUCUAACCGCGACCCGUAAGCCGGGCGCGGGACAGUGUCAGGCGGGCAGUUUGACUGGGGCGGUCGCCUCCUAAAGUGUAACGGAGGCGCCCAAAGGUUCCCUCAGCCUGAAUGGAAACCAGGCGUAGAGUGCAAAGGCAUAAGGGAGCUUGACUGCGAGACCCACAAGUCGAGCAGAGACGAAAGUCGGGCUUAGUGAUCUGGUACCUCCGAGUGGAAGGGGUAUCACUCAACGGAUAAAAGCUACCCCGGGGAUAACAGGCUGAUGGUGCCCAAGAGUUCACAUCGACGGCACCGUUUGGCACCUCGAUGUCGGCCCGUGGCAUCCUGGGGCGGAAGUACGUCCCAAGGGUUCGGCUGUUCGCCGAUUAAAGCCGCACGCGAGCUGGGUUCAGAACGUCGUGAGACAGUUCGGUCUCUAUCCAUCGUGGGCGCAGGGAACUUGAGAGGAGCUGCUCCUAGUACGAGAGGACCGGAGUGGACGAACCGCUGGUGUGCCAGUUGUCCCGCCAGGGGCACCGCUGGGUAGCCAUGUUCGGUCGGGAUAAGCGCUGAAAGCAUCUAAGUGCGAAGCUCGCCUCGAGAUGAGGUUCCCCACCGGGUCAACCGGGUAAGACCGCAGGGAGACCACCUGUUUGAUAGGCGGCACGUGGAAGUCCGGUGACGGAUGAAGCCGAGCCGUACUAAUGGUCGAGGGCUUGACCUC
rnacentral:rRNA from 1 species